rnacentral:rRNA from 1 species
GAUGAACGCUAGCGGCAGGCCUAACACAUGCAAGUCGGGCGGUAGGGGACUUCGGUCCCCGAGAGCGGCGCACGGGUGCGUAACGCGUAUGCAACCUGCCCUACACAGGGGAAUAGCCCGUCGAAAGGCGGAUUAAUGCCCCAUGGUCCCGAGAGGUGGCAUCACCUUUAGGGUAAAGAUUUAUCGGUGUAGGAUGGGCAUGCGUGCCAUUAGCUGGACGGUGGGGUAACGGCCCACCGUGGCGACGAUGGCUAGGGGUUCUGAGAGGAAGGCCCCCCACACUGGGACUGAGACACGGCCCAGACUCCUACGGGAGGCAGCAGUGAGGAAUAUUGGUCAAUGGGCGGAAGCCUGAACCAGCCAUGCCGCGUGCGGGAAGAAGGCGCUACGCGUCGUAAACCGCUUUUGUCCGGGGGUAACCGCGGGGACGAGUCCCCGCCUGCAAGUACCGGACGAAUAAGGGUCGGCUAACUCCGUGCCAGCAGCCGCGGUAAUACGGAGGACCCGAGCGUUAUCCGGAUUCAUUGGGUUUAAAGGGUGCGCAGGCGGCCCGGUCAGUCAGCGGUGAAAUGCCCGCGCUCCACGCGGGAGCUGCCGUUGAUACUGCCGGGCUGGAGUCUUAGCGAGGCGGGCGGAAUGCGCGGUGUAGCGGUGAAAUGCAUAGAUAUCGCGCAGAACGCCGAUUGGGGAGCCAGCUCGCCAGCUGAGUACUGACGCUGAGGCACGAAAGCGUGGGGAUCGAACAGGAUUAGAUACCCUGGUAGUCCACGCCGUAAACGAUGAUGGCUCGCUCUUGGCCGGCAACGGUCAGGGGCUUAGCGAAAGCGUUAAGCCAUCCACCUGGGGAGUACGCCGGCAACGGUGA